CCUACGGGUGGCAGCAGUGGGGAAUAUUGGACAAUGGGCGAAAGCCUGAUCCAGCCAUGCCGCGUGUGUGAAGAAGGCCUUCGGGUUGUAAAGCACUUUCAGUGGGGAAGAAAGCCUUGGGGCUAAUACCCUCGAGGAAGGACAUCACCCACAGAAGAAGCACCGGCUAACUCCGUGCCAGCAGCCGCGGUAAUACGGAGGGUGCGAGCGUUAAUCGGAAUUACUGGGCGUAAAGCGCGCGUAGGCGGUCUGAUAAGCCGGUUGUGAAAGCCCCGGGCGCAACCUGGGAACGGCAUCCGGAACUGUCAGGCUAGAGUGCAGGAGAGGAAGGUAGAAUUCCCGGUGUAGCGGUGAAAUGCGUAGAGAUCGGGAGGAAUCCCAGUGGCGAAGGCGGCCUUCUGGACUGACACUGACGCUGAGGUGCGAAAGCGUGGGUAGCAAACAGGAUUAGAUACCCUUGUAGUC
rnacentral:rRNA from 1 species